rnacentral:rRNA from 1 species
AACGAACGCUGGCGGCAGGCCUAACACAUGCAAGUCGAACGCCCUAGCAAUAGGGAGUGGCAGACGGGUGAGUAACACGUGGGAACCUUCCCUGUAGUACGGAAUAGCCCAGGGAAACUUGGAGUAAUACCGUAUACGCCCGAGAGGGGAAAGAUUUAUCGCUACAGGAUGGGCCCGCGUCGGAUUAGCUAGUUGGUGAGGUAAUGGCUCACCAAGGCGACGAUCCGUAGCUGGUUUGAGAGAACGACCAGCCACACUGGGACUGAGACACGGCCCAGACUCCUACGGGAGGCAGCAGUGGGGAAUAUUGGACAAUGGGCGCAAGCCUGAUCCAGCCAUGCCGCGUGAGUGAUGAAGGCCUUAGGGUUGUAAAGCUCUUUUGUCGGGGACGAUAAUGACGGUACCCGAAGAAUAAGUCCCGGCUAACUUCGUGCCAGCAGCCGCCGUAAUAC